CGCGGAAUAGCCCAAACCAAAGUUGUUACGGCAAUUUUGGGGUUGUAGGACCACGACAUUUCUUGCGGAUUGAAUUAGAAUUACCUGGAAAGGUAAACCAAAGAGGGUGAUAGUCCCGUAUAAGUAAGAGAAGAUAAGAAUAGUGGUAUCCUGAGUAGGUCGGGGCACGUGAAACCCUGAUUGAAACUGGCGGGACCAUCCGCUAAGGCUAAAUACUCCUGAGAGACCGAUAGUGAACCAGUACCGUGAGGGAAAGGUGAAAAGAACCGUGAAUAACGGAGUGAAACAGAUCCUGAAACCAUACGCCUACAAGCGGUCGGAGCCCUUAAGUGGGGUGACGGCGUGCCUUUUGCAUAAUGAGCCUACGAGUUACCGUUGCUGGCAAGGAUAAGUGAUUAAGUCAUGGAUCCGUAGCGAAAGCGAGUCUUAAUAGGGCGCUUUAGUCAGUAGUGGUAGACGCGAAACCGUGUGAUCUACCCAUGGGCAGGUUGAAGUUUAGGUAACACUAAAUGGAGGACCGAACCGUUUAACGCUGAAAAGUUUUCGGAUGACCUGUGGGUAGGGGUGAAAGGCCAAUCAAACUCGGAAAUAGCUCGUACUCCCCGAAAUGCAUUUAGGUGCAGCGAUAAUCGAUAGUUACUUAGAGGUAGAGCUACUGAUUGGAUGCGGGGGCUUCACCGCCUACCAAUUCCUGACAAACUCCGAAUGCUAAGUACUGAUAAUUAUCAGUGAGGGCAUGGGUGCUAAGGUCCAUGUCCGAGAGGGAAAGAACCCAGACCAUCAGCUAAGGUCCCCAAAUGUAUGCUAAGUUGAAAAAACGCGGUUUGAUUGCCCAGACAGCUAGGAUGUUGGCUUGGAAGCAGCCAUUCAUUUAAAGAGUGCGUAACAGCUCACUAGUCGAGCGAUCGAGCAUGGAUAAUAAUCGGGCAUAAGCAUACUACCGAAGCUAUGGAUUUACGUUUUUAACGUGAGUGGUAGGGGAGCAUUCUAACGGGGUAGAAGGUGAUUUGUGAGAAUUGCUGGACCUUUUAGAAAAGAAAAUGUAGGCAUAAGUAACGAUAAGGGGUGCGAGAAACACCCCCGCCGUAAGACUAAGGUUUCCUGAGCUAUGCUAAUCAGCUUAGGGUUAGUCGGGACCUAAGGCACACCCGAAGGGGGACGUCGAUGGCCAACGGGUUAAUAUUCCCGUACUACUUAUAAUUGUGAUGGAGUGACACAGUGAUGAAAGCACCGCGAACUGACGGAAUAGUUCGUUGAAGCACGUACCUAUUGGUUUGAUAGUAAAAUGCGUCAGACUAGGAGAAAUGCGAUAGUACUUUGAGUCUUCGGACAACGAGAUAGUGUGC
rnacentral:rRNA from 1 species